GGGAAGGUGGCUCAGGAUAGAGCACAUGACUUGCAUUCAUGUUGCGCUAAAUUCUGUUCUUGGCACCACAUAUAAUGGUGUCGUGUUCUAGUCUUUCACA
rnacentral:tRNA from 1 species